rnacentral:rRNA from 1 species
UACGGGGGGGGCAAGCGUUGUUCGGAAUUACUGGGCGUAAAGGGCUCGUAGGCGGCCAACUAAGUCGGAUGUGAAAUCCCCAGGCUUAACCUGGGAACUGCAUCCGAUACUGGAUGGCUUGAAUCCGGGAGAGGGAUGCGGAAUUCCAGGUGUAGCGGUGAAAUGCGUAGAUAUUGGGAGGAACACCAGUGGCGAAGGCGGCUCACUGGACCGGAACUGACGCUGAGGCGCGAAAGCGUGGGGAGCAAACAGG